AAGUUGCUUCUUCUCGAAGGUUCCGACAGCUUCCUUUGCCUUGGAGAAUUCACUUCGAUUCGAGUCUCUGUUGGUGCAUAAAAAAUUGGGAUUUUGGAUCUGUUUUUCGAACCAUCCUUUGACUUGAUUUGUUGGGAAGCUGCAGAAUUAGUUUGGGCACAGUGGUUUUGAAGGUUCUGUGACGGUUUUCAGUGUACCGGAGAAGAUGUUCCGGUGACUCCAUUUUGUUGGCGUCAUUACUCAGGCCACUUUGAUGACUCACCUUUUCUUUGGCUGAUUGUGCAACACGUGGAUUCAUCCUUAUCUCUUUGUUAUCGCUUUUGAUAUUUUAUUUUAGUUUGGCUUUUUAAUCAGGGUUAAGCUUCUAGUGUAGAUUGUUUUAGUUUUAUGCUUUUAUCUGUUUAGUUGUUUUAUAAUCAGAAUAGAAGUUAUCACCCUGCUCGGAUGUUAAGAUGGUGAGCAAGAAGCAACCAUACUACAAGCAUAUGAUGGAAGCUAUAAGAUCAGCUCUAAACCUUUGAGUUUUGAUGUUUGGUCUUAUUGAGAUUAGUUAUGAGGUUGCUGUUAACAAGCUACCAUUUCACAACGUUCCCUUUAGUGGCAGAAUGGGUUGUACUUUACUUGUACUUGGUUGUUUGUAAAAUUUGUUGUUGUAUCUUGUACUUGCCUCUCCAACAUGGGUUCUCCAUUGAUGGAUGAUGCUGUUUGGAUGUUAUAUAUACAAAGACAUCCUUUGGAAAAAAAAAA